UACGUAGGGGGCAAGCGUUAUCCGGAUUUACUGGGUGUAAAGGGAGCGUAGACGGUACGCCAAGUCUGAAGUGAAAUGCCGCAGCUUAACUGCGGAACGGCUUUGGAAACUGAGGGACUAGAGUGCUGGAGGGGCAGGCGGAAUUCCUGGUGUAGCGGUGAAAUGCGUAGAUAUCAGGAGGAACACCGGUGGCGAAGGCGGCCUGCUGGACAGUAACUGACGUUGAGGCUCGAAAGCGUGGGGAGCAAACAGG
rnacentral:rRNA from 1 species